ACUGCUGGAUUAGAAUGUCGUAUUUGAGAAUGACACUUCUUUAAUCAGAUUACGACCAGACACUUUUAAGGAAAUAAGGUUGGUCUCAUGAGAUCAAUGCUCACAGAGCUCCUCUGGUGAAAACUGGCCUGAUCCCUGGCUUUACCGGGUUCCCGGCUUUCUAGGUGAGCAAGGAAGGUCACUUGCCAGCAGGCUCAGGAAUCUUAUGGUAUUCGGGAGACCUCAAGAAGAGAGGAAUGCCUGCCAAAUCAGUAGGUACUGUGGGGAAAUCUGAUGGUGAGUUCUUGGCUUGGCAUCUUAUGCCCAAGAGGCUUUGAAAGGUCCAAGUUGAGAUUCUCUAUGAAAACUUCCAGCAAAGCGAAUGUGAGAAGAUCUAUGUGUCAAUUGCCAUUCUUGCUGCAACUGUGUGACUAACCGGGCCAGAUCUCGUGAGACCAACCUUAUUGUGUGAUCCAGAGUCAUCUUUCUUUGAGAUUGCCUUUGAUUAAAGGUGUUGGGCAGGGAGGGACUGUAGAAAGAACUUUGUGUUUCAGUGGAAAACUGUAGCACACACUUCUGGAUUACCAGACUCUUAACCUUAUCAUUUAUAUUUGAGCUAUUUGGCACCUGACCUCAUUGUAAAUUGCGGGUAACUAAUGAAUAUGCAAACUUUGUCCUGCCCGGUGGUGGAGCUUUCCCUGUCCUUGUGGAAAACCCAGACUGGUACCGCCUGUAAACUGGACUUGCAGAGACUGUUAAUCCUUGCCAGAUUUUCAAUUUUUUAGUUUCUUUUAGGACCUGGCUACAAACUAACAGCCUCCAAGCCACUUUUCAAUUUCUCCUCUACUUGUUGUCCUGGAAUCACUGACAACUGAAACCUGACUGCCAAGAUCCUUAUUGGGACUCCAGGUUGCCCUGCCCCUGCAGCUGGUCUUUGCUGCUGGGGAUUUUAAGAAUCACUGAAAACUCAAGUCUGAAGACUUGCUACAAUCCUGGAAGGACUUAGCACCUGAGCCGACCAUUCGUGGUCCAGCUCUUUUUCUGGACCAGCCACUCUUUAGACUAUUGAGACAGCCUGGUGAAAUGCUCAGGUCUCCAUGCACUUACGGGAGAAAUAUCCAACACUGUGGACAGCAUUACCAAGAAGAUCAACAUCUUAGCAUCAAAAACUCAGUGAGCGGCGAGAAUGAAUAUACAGACAGUGGCUAGGCCAUGUAUAAAAAUACAACUCCAAUCACAGCACUGUGACAAGCAGUCUAGGAACCCAACUGCAACCUCUUUAGCAUCAGUGAGGACUUGGUAACUGCCAGAUUCCAAAAUUUUUGCCUCUACUUCUAACUUGGAACCAACCACAGAAAGCCAAGCAUCUAUUCUUAACAAAUCACAUCCAAUGGCCUUCUCCUCCUUGGCUACCCUCGAGCUUCCCCGUGGCUGUAGCCUCCAAUUAGGUGUGCCUGAAGUCUCCCUUUUGUCCAUUAUGAGCCUUCCCAAUACUCAACCUGCAUCUGAGUCUCUGCCAAACAAAAGUGAUGUUUUCUUGGAAGUGCCAUCAAGAUAAGGUCUGCACUGACCAUCACCACAGACCCAACCCUCAGCCAGCUGCAACACUCCUUGUGCUUUGCUGCUUGUCAAGUCUAUAAUAACGUGGAUACUUCAUCUAUGGGAAGAGACCUCAGAAGAAAAC